rnacentral:lncRNA from 1 species
GGCCACUACAUAUUAGGGAGGGGGAAUUUGACAUGCAAGUCCCCUUUUUCUUCCACAUGCACUAAUAGGUCCUCAUGCAUUGACCUAUCACAUUUUAAAAUUUUCUCAUAUAAGUCCUAUUGACUAAAUUCACAUGCAAUCGACUAAAUCGAAGCUUGAAAUUUUCACACAUUCAUGAUUACAUAUUCUAGACAAUAAACAUCACAUUCAAACCUUUCAGUGACUCGGUUUAGCGGUCCCGAAACCACUUCCCGACUAGGGUCAAUUUUGGGCUGUCACAACUCUCCCCCACUUAAGAAAUUUUCGUCCCCGAAAAUCUUACCGGUAA